rnacentral:rRNA from 1 species
UACGGGGGGGGCAAGCGUUGUUCGGAAUUACUGGGCGUAAAGGGCUCGUAGGCGGCCAACUAAGUCAGACGUGAAAUCCCCAGGCUCAACCUGGGAACUGCGUCUGAUACUGGAUGGCUUGAAUCCGGGAGAGGGAUGCAGAAUUCCAGGUGUAGCGGUGAAAUGCGUAGAUAUCUGGAGGAAUACCGGUGGCGAAGGCGGCAUCCUGGACCGGCAUUGACGCUGAGGAGUGAAAGCCAGGGGAGCAAACGGG